rnacentral:tRNA from 1 species
GCCCCCUUCGUCUAGCGGCCUAGGACGCGCCCUUUCAAGGCGGUAGCGCCGGUUCGAAUCCGGUAGGGGGUACCA